rnacentral:rRNA from 1 species
UACAGAGGUCUCAAGCGUUGUUCGGAAUUACUGGGCGUAAAGCGCGCGUAGGCGGCUUUGUAAGUUAGAGGUGAAGGCCCAGGGCUCAACCCUGGAAUUGCCUUUAAGACUGCAUCGCUUGAACAUCGGAGAGGUAAGUGGAAUUCCGAGUGUAGAGGUGAAAUUCGUAGAUAUUCGGAAGAACACCAGUGGCGAAGGCGACUUACUGGACGAUUGUUGACGCUGAGGUGCGAAAGCGUGGGGAGCAAACAGG